AACGAACGCUGGCGGCAGGCUUAACACAUGCAAGUCGAACGCCCCGCAAGGGGAGUGGCAGACGGGUGAGUAACGCGUGGGAAUCUACCCAUCUCUACGGAAUAACUCAGGGAAACCUGUGCUAAUACCGUAUACGCCCUUCGGGGGAAAGAUUUAUCGGAGAUGGAUGAGCCCGCGUUGGAUUAGCUAGUUGGUGGGGUAAAGGCCUACCAAGGCGACGAUCCAUAGCUGGUCUGAGAGGAUGAUCAGCCACAUUGGGACUGAGACACGGCCCAAACUCCUACGGGAGGCAGCAGUGGGGAAUAUUGGACAAUGGGCGCAAGCCUGAUCCAGCCGUGCCGCGUGAGUGAUGAAGGCCUUAGGGUUGUAAAGCUCUUUCACCGGAGAAGAUAAUGACGGUAUCCGGAGAAGAAGCCCCGGCUAACUUCGUGCCAGCAGCCGCCGUAA
rnacentral:rRNA from 1 species